AGAAUUGUACCUCAAAAUUUUUCAGAGAUGAAUGAAAAAAACACAACAUAUGCAGAUUUGAAACACCUUCCUUCCAGAAAGCACAUGCAAAAUGAAAAGGUAAAAGAGUCGGUAAUUUACUCAGAAGUGAACAAAUCUUCUUCAAACUCCAGACAGACAAAGAUAACAAGGAAUAAAUCAUCCAAAGGAAAAGUGUCUUCAGUACCAUUUACCUGGUGUCUCACUGUUGUGAUCCUUGGAAUCUUCUGUUUCUUUCUUCUUGUAACAACUGGAAUUUUGGCACUCAUGG